rnacentral:rRNA from 1 species
CCUACGGGAGGCAGCAGUGAGGAAUAUUGGUCAAUGGGCGAGAGCCUGAACCAGCCAAGUUGCGUGAGGGAGUACUGCCCUAUGGGUUGUAAACCUCUUUUGUCGGGGAGCAAAAGCCGGACGUGUCCGGCUGUGAGAGUACCCGAAGAAAAAGCAUCGGCUAACUCCGUGCCAGCAGCCGCGGUAAUACGGAGGAUGCGAGCGGUAUCCGGAUUUAUUGGGUUUAAAGGGUGCGCAGGCGGAUUUUUAAGUCAGCGGUAAAAUCGUGGGGCUCAACCCCCUCCAGCCGUUGAAACUGGGGAUCUAGAGUGUGCGAGAGGUAUGCGGAAUGGGUGGUGUAGCGGUGAAAUGCAUAGAUAUCACGCAGAACCCCGAUUGCGAAGGCAGCAUACCGGUGCACAACUGACGCUCAGGCACGAAAGCGUGGGUAUCGAACAGGAUUAGAUACCCUAGUAGUC